rnacentral:rRNA from 1 species
GCGAAUACCGGAGAAUGUUAUCACGGGAGACACACGGCGGGUGCUAACGUCCGUCGUGAAGAGGGAAACAACCCAGACCGCCAGCUAAGGUCCCAAAGUCAUGGUUAAGUGGGAAACGAUGUGGGAAGGCCCAGACAGCCAGGAUGUUGGCUUAGAAGCAGCCAUCAUUUAAAGAAAGCGUAAUAGCUCACUGGUCGAGUCGGCCUGCGCGGAAGAUGUAACGGGGCUAAACCAUGCACCGAAGCUGCGGCAGCGAACGUAUCACUUAAAGCGAUUCAGCGGGUUACGAUUGACGGAGCGAAGCGACGUCAAAGCGUAUACAAAGUCGAGUCGGUUUAAGGAUACGUUCGUUGGGUAGGGGAGCGUUCUGUAAGCCUGCGAAGGUGGCCUGUGAGGGUUGCUGGAGGUAUCAGAAGUGCGAAUGCUGACAUAAGUAACGAUAAAGCGGGUGAAAAGCCCGCUCGCCGGAAGACCAAGGGUUCCUGUCCAACGUUAAUCGGGGCAGGGUGAGUCGACCCCUAAGGCGAGGCCGAAAGGCGUAGUCGAUGGGAAACGGGUUAAUAUUCCCGUACUUGGUGUUACUGCGAAGGGGGGACGGAGAAGGCUAUGUUGGCCGGGCGACGGUUGUCCCGGUUUAAGCGUGUAGGUGUGUGUUCCAGGUAAAUCCGGUU